AUUGAACGCUGGCGGCAGGCCUAACACAUGCAAGUCGAGCGGAUGAGGGGAGCUUGCUCCCUGAUUUAGCGGCGGACGGGUGAGUAAUGCCUAGGAAUCUGCCUGGUAGUGGGGGAUAACGUUCCGAAAGGAACGCUAAUACCGCAUACGUCCUACGGGAGAAAGCAGGGGACCUUCGGGCCUUGCGCUAUCAGAUGAGCCUAGGUCGGAUUAGCUAGUUGGUGAGGUAAUGGCUCACCAAGGCGACGAUCCGUAACUGGUCUGAGAGGAUGAUCAGUCACACUGGAACUGAGACACGGUCCAGACUCCUACGGGAGGCAGCAGUGGGGAAUAUUGGACAAUGGGCGAAAGCCUGAUCCAGCCAUGCCGCGUGUGUGAAGAAGGUCUUCGGAUUGUAAAGCACUUUAAGUUGGGAGGAAGGGCUGCUGGUUAAUACCCUGCAGUUUUGACGUUACCAACAGAAUAAGCACCGGCUAACUUCGUGCCAGCAGCCGCGGUAAUACGAAGGGUGCAAGCGUUAAUCGGAAUUACUGGGCGUAAAGCGCGCGUAGGUGGUUUUGUAAGUUGGAGGUGAAAUCCCCGGGCUCAACCUGGGAACUGCCUCCAAAACUGCAUGACUAGAGUACGGUAGAGGGUGGUGGAAUUUCCUGUGUAGCGGUGAAAUGCGUAGAUAUAGGAAGGAACACCAGUGGCGAAGGCGACCACCUGGACUGAUACUGACACUGAGGUGCGAAAGCGUGGGGAGCAAACAGGAUUAGAUACCCUGGUAGUCCACGCCGUAAACGAUGUCAACU
rnacentral:rRNA from 1 species